rnacentral:rRNA from 1 species
GGGGGGGGGACCCUCCCAUUCUCACCCUCUGUCUACCUAACUUUGUUGCUUCGGCGCGGCUCGCGCCCGCCGGCAGCCCCACCGAAAUUCAAAGGGGGCACCCUCCCAUUCUCACCCUCUGUCUACCUAACUUUGUUGCUUCGGCGCGGCUCGCGCCCGCCGGCAGCCCCGCAACCCUUGAAUCCCGGCGUCUGAGUCGUUAUUUAAUACUUAAAACUUUCAACAACGGAUCUCUUGGUUAGGCCAUCGAUGAAGAACGCAGCGAAAUGCGAUAAGUAAUGUGAAUUGCAGAAUUCAGUGAAUCAUCGAAUCUUUGAACGCACAUUGCGCCCCCCGGUAUUCCGGGGGGCAUGCCUGUUCGAGCGUCAUUGCAACCCUCACGCCCCGCGUGGUCUUGGGCUGGCCCUCCGGGGCCUGCCUCAAAGUCAGUGGCGGUCCAGCCGGCCCCCUAAGCGUAGUAAUCCACUGAUCGCUUCUGGGAGGCUCGGCGCGGGCCUGCCAAGCACCCCCACACUUUUUAAAGGUUGACCUCGGAUCAGGUAGGGAUACCCGCUGAACUUAAGCAUAUCAAUAAGCGGAGGAA